rnacentral:rRNA from 1 species
CCCUUAGAUGUUCUGGGCCGCACACGCGCUACACUGAAGGAGGCAGCGUGUACUCCUGGAUCGAAAGAUUUGGGUAACCCGCGAAUCUCCUUCGUGCUAGGGAUUGAGGUUUGCAAUUAUCCUUCAUGAACGAGGAAUUCCCAGUAAGUGCAAGUCAUAAGCUUGCGCUGACUACGUCCCUGCCCUUUGUACACACCGCCCGUCGCUACUACCGAUUGAAUGAUUUAGUGAGGACUUCGGACUGGGACCGAUGCGGCUUUCGGGCUGCGUCGGUAUUCUGGAAAGAUGUCCAAACUGUAUUAUUUAGAGGAAGUAAAAGUCGUAACA